AGAGCGAACGCUGGCGGCGUGCUUAACACAUGCAAGUCGAGUGCGCAGUUUUCUGUAGCAAUACAGGAAACCGGCGCACGGCGCACGGGUGCGUAACACGUGGAUAACCUGCCCUCCAAAGGGAUAACCCGCGAAAGCGAGGCUAAUACCGCAUGACAUUCCGAGAACCUCGGUUUUUGGAAUCAAAGCCCGCAAGGGCGUUGGGGAGGGUCCGCGGCCGAUUAGCUUGUUGGCGAGGUAAUGGCUCACCAAGGCAAUGAUCGGUA
rnacentral:rRNA from 1 species